rnacentral:rRNA from 1 species
AGUGAACGCUGGCGGUAGGCCUAACACAUGCAAGUCGAACGGCAGCACAGUAAGAGCUUGCUCUUACGGGUGGCGAGUGGCGGACGGGUGAGGAAUACAUCGGAAUCUACUUUUUCGUGGGGGAUAACGUAGGGAAACUUACGCUAAUACCGCAUACGACCUACGGGUGAAAGCAGGGGAUCUUCGGACCUUGCGCGAUUGAAUGAGCCGAUGUCGGAUUAGCUAGUUGGCGGGGUAAAGGCCCACCAAGGCGACGAUCCGUAGCUGGUCUGAGAGGAUGAUCAGCCACACUGGAACUGAGACACGGUCCAGACUCCUACGGGAGGCAGCAGUGGGGAAUAUUGGACAAUGGGCGCAAGCCUGAUCCAGCCAUACCGCGUGGGUGAAGAAGACCUUCGGGUUGUAAAGCCCUUUUGUCGGGAAAGAAAAGCAGCAGGUUAAUACCCCGCUGUUCUGACGGUACCCAAAGAAUAAGCACCGGCUAACUUCGUG